UGGGGAAUUUUGCACAAUGGGGGAAACCCUGAUGCAGCGACGCCGCGUGAUUUAGAAGGCCUUCGGGUUGUAAAAAUCUUUUCUAUGGGAAGAAAAUGACAGUACCAUAGGAAUAAGGACCGGCUAAUUACGUGCCAGCAGCCGCGGUAAUACGUAAGGUCCGAGCGUUGUCCGGAAUCAUUGGGCGUAAAGGGUACGUAGGCGGGUAAGCAAGUUAGAAGUGAAAUCCUAUAGCUCAACUAUAGUAAGCUUUUAAAACUGCUCAUCUUGAGGUAUGGAAGGGAAAGUAGAAGUCCAAGUGUAGCGGUGAAAUGCGCAGAUAUUAGGAGGAAUACCGGUGGCGAAGGCGACUUUCUGGCCAUAACCUGACGCUGAGGUACGAAAGCGUGGGUAGCAAACAGG
rnacentral:rRNA from 1 species